GUGCCAGCAGCCGCGGUAAUACCAGCUCUCCGAGUGGUGUGGACGUUUAUUGGGCCUAAAGCAUCCGUAGCUGGCUGAACAAGUCCCCUGUUAAACCCACCGAUUUAAUCGUUGGCUUGCGGGGGAUACUGCUCGGCUAGGGGACGAGAGAGGCAGACGGUAUUCCCGGGGUAGGGGUGAAAUCCUAUAAUCCCGAGAAGACCACCAGUGGCGAAGGCUGUCUGCUAGAACGCGCCCGACGGUGAGGGAUGAAAGCUGGGGGAGCGAACCGGAUUAGAAACCCUUGUAGUCC
rnacentral:rRNA from 1 species